UACGUAGGGUGCAAGCGUUAUUCGGAAUUACUGGGCGUAAAGCGUGCGCAGGCGGCUUUGCAAGUCAGAUGUGAAAUCCCCGGGCUCAACCUGGGAACUGCAUUUGUGACUGCAAGGCUGGAGUACGGCAGAGGGGGAUGGAAUUCCGCGUGUAGCAGUGAAAUGCGUAGAUAUGCGGAGGAACACCGAUGGCGAAGGCAAUCCCCUGGGCCUGUACUGACGCUCAUGCACGAAAGCGUGGGGAGCAAACAGG
rnacentral:rRNA from 1 species